CGCGUAGGUGGUAGUGCAAGUCUGGGGUGGAAUCCCAGGGCUUAACCCUGGAACUGCCUUGGAAACUGUAUUACUUGAGUCAGUGAGGGGAGGGUAGAAUUCCUGGUGUAGCGGUGAAAUGCGUAGAUAUCAGGAGGAAGGCCUGUGGCGAAGGCGGCCCUCUGGCGCUGAACUGACACUGAGGCGCGAAAGCGUGGGGAGCAAACAGGAUUAGAUACCCUGGUAGUCCACGCCUUAAACGGUGGGUACUAGGUGUAGGGCUCGUAAGGGUUCUGUGCCGAAGCGAAAGCAUUAAGUACCCCGCCUGGGGAGUACGGCCGCAAGGUUGAA
rnacentral:rRNA from 1 species